CCACGGGAUCACAUGGUUCUGGGGUAAAAGAUUUAUCGGUUUGGGGUGGGCUCGCGUCCGAUUAGGUAGUUGGUGAGGUAACGGCCCACCAAGCCGACGAUCGGUAGCCGACCUGAGAGGGUGAUCGGCCACAUUGGGACUGAGACACGGCCCAAACUCCUACGGGAGGCAGCAGUGGGAAUAUUGGGCAAUGGAGGAAACUCUGACCCAGCAACGCCGCGUGGAGGAAGAAGGUUUUCGGAUCGUAAACUCCUGUCCUUGGAGACGAGUAGAAGACGGUAUCCAAGGAGGAAGCCCCGGCUAACUACGUGCCAGCAGCCGCGGUAAUACGUAGGGGGCAAGCGUUGUCCGGAAUAAUUGGGCGUAAAGGGCGCGUAGGCGGCUCGGUAAGUCUGGAGUGAAAGUCCUGCUUUUAAGGUGGGAAUUGCUUUGGAUACUGUCGGGCUUGAGUGCAGGAGAGGUUAGUGGAAUUCCCAGUGUAGCGGUGAAAUGCGUAGAGAUUGGGAGGAACACCAGUGGCGAAGGCGACUAACUGGACUGUAACUGACGCUGAGGCGCGAAAGUGUGGGGAGCAAACAGGAUUAGAUACCCUGGUAGUCCACACUGUAAACGAUGAAUGCUAGGUGUAGGGGGUAUCGACCCCUUCUGUGCCGCAGUCAACACAAUAAGCAUUCCGCCUGGGGAGUACGGCCGCAAGGUUGAAACUCAAAGGAAUUGACGGGGGCCCGCACAAGCAGCGGAGCAUGUGGUUUAAUUCGACGCAACGCGAAGAACCUUACCAGGUCUUGACAUCCACUUAAACUUACAGAGAUGUAAGGUGUGCUUGCACAAAGUGAGACAGGUGGUGCAUGGUUGUCGUCAGCUCGUGUCGUGAGAUGUUGGGUUAAGUCCCGCAACGAGCGCAACCCUUAUCUUCAGUUACUAACGCGUAAAGGUGAGGACUCUGAAGAGACUGCCGGGGACAACUCGGAGGAAGGUGGGGACGACGUCAAAUCAUCAUGCCCCUUAUGACCUGGGCUACACACGUGCUACAAUGGCCACGACAGAGAGAAGCGAAAUCGCAAGGUAGAGCGGAACUCAAAAAAGUGGUCCCAGUUCGGAUUGUGGGCUGCAACCCGCCCACAUGAAGUCGGAGUUGCUAGUAAUCGCGGAUCAGCAUGCCGCGGUGAAUACGUUCCCGGGCCUUGUACACACCGCCCGUCACACCAUGGGAGUUGGGAGUGCCCAAAGCCGGUGAGGCAACCGCAAGGAGCCAGCCGUCUAAGGCAAGACCAAUGACUGGGGUGAAGUCGGAACGAGGUA
rnacentral:rRNA from 1 species